ACCUCAUUAUUUUUAGCAUUAAUUUCAUUAUAAGUUUUUAUCAUAUUUACUUUUUUUAUAUAUAUAUAAUGAUUAAAACUACCUAUAGUUCCUCCCCAACCCUUUAAAUAAGAGAAUAAUGUACUCCAGCGCAUUCAAACUUACGUCCUCCUAUACUGACAACAAUAUCAAUACCAAUCAAAUUAAAACUUAAUCUACAAUAUUUUAACCUCAUUAUUUGUAUAAAUACUAAGCAUGUUGAGAAAGUUCCAUCGGAGAAAUGAUGGGGCAGAACAACCAAAUUACUUUUUUUGUAUCAUAUCAUAUACUGCACAAAGUAAUAAAUAAUUAAUUGCACAAUCAAUGAAUGGAGAAGAUGAUAAGGAUGAGUUCAUGAGCCAUCCAUUUUAUAUAUAAAUAAUUAUCAUUACAUACAACAAAACACUGUAUACUUUCAUGUGGGCUCGUCUUCAGUCUCCAGGUGGAGGGAACUCCUCAUUUCAACCCACCACCACCACCACCACCACCGCCACUCUGCUGUCUUGAAGUGAACUUCAGUUUUGGCCAGAGACUGAUUUAACAACAAGUGUUGGAAAAGAGAUGAUUCAGGUGGCAGUAGUGGCGGGGUUGAUGGAGGAGUACACGGUGCUGUUGGCAAGGCUGCUUGAGCAGAUGUUACAUGAAGCUCCUUUUCCAAGGCGAAUGCGUUUCCUUAUCCUUCGUAGUCUUCCUUUUGUUUACUCCACUCCCCUUCUGAUCCCAUCCCCUACUUAAACCCCUGUUUUUUUUUUCCCAUAUGCAGAUUUCUGUUAUAUGUACAUUCUCUGGAGCUCUGUUUGCUUCAUCUAUGUAAUAUAAAUUCCAUUCCAACUUGCUUGCUUUUCUCUGUUUUCACAUUCAGUGAUUCAACCAUGCUUUUAUCCUUGUUUCUGGUUGGUCUCAAAAUGUUCACAAAAAUCGCCAAAAAGGGUUGUUUCAAUGAAAAGGUGGAGACCAAAUUACUAGCA